GAUGAACGCUAGCGGCAGGCCUAAUACAUGCAAGUCGAACGGGAUCCAGAUCAAAGCUUGCUUUGGUCUGGUGAGAGUGGCGCACGGGUGCGUAACGCGUGAGCAACCUACCCUUGUCAGGGGGAUAGCCCGGCGAAAGUCGGAUUAAUACCGCAUGACAUCAUUGAGAGGCAUCUUUCGAUGAUCAAAGAUUUAUCGGACAAGGAUGGGCUCGCCUGACAUUAGCUAGUUGGUAAGGUAACGGCUUACCAAGGCUGCGAUGUCUAGGGGCUCUGAGAGGAGAAUCCCCCACACUGGUACUGAGACACGGACCAGACUCCUACGGGAGGCAGCAGUAAGGAAUAUUGGUCAAUGGACGGAAGUCUGAACCAGCCAUGCCGCGUGCAGGAAGACGGCCCUAUGGGUUGUAAACUGCUUUUAUACGGGAACAAACGUCGGUACGUGUACCGGUCUGAGUGUACCGUAAGAAUAAGGAUCGGCUAACUCCGUG
rnacentral:rRNA from 1 species